rnacentral:lncRNA from 1 species
ACGUACGGUCAUGACAGUUAGGUCCGGAUCAACCCCGUAGUAGCCCAAACCAUCAUCAUGUUUUUAAUAAGAUCAACUAACCUAUUUUUCUUCGAUCAUUCGAUUAAAAUCAGAGGGUCCAAAUAACCCUGAACCAUAGCAACCUAACUAUUUAAGAGGUCACAACCUAACUCUAGAAUCUGUCCCAUCCAUCCGUACAUCUUGUCCCCGCCGCCACCACCUCGUUUUGCAGAUCCAAC